UGUCGGAGCUGCCGCCGGAUCAGCUUGGGAUUGCGGCUGUUCCAUUUUGCUCUUACUGUAGGAUUGAGUUGUCGGGAUUGCCUGUUGCAAUUAAAACCAUUUCUGCUAUUACGGAAGUGAGCAGACCUGUGAUUGAAGCUACAGUUUAUUUUGGGCGGAGAGGAAUGAUUCUUGUGACGCCUUUAGUUUAUGGGUUCAACUUUUAAGGUAGGAGUUUUUCUUAAAAUCUAUUUUACAUUAUAGAGUUGCGAUAAAUAGAUAUUGAUGUAAAAAGAUAUAUUUCUGUGAUUAUAUUUGUCUUGUGGAUAUGAUGGUUUAUUGGACUGGAUUAUUGGGUGCUUGAUUGCGUGAGUGGUGUAUGAUUGUUGAUAAAAAUCGGUUUGAAAUGUUAUUUAUUUGAUUAUUAGGAAAGGUGGAUUUUCUUGGUUUUAGAGUUUACUUGGUAAUAUAAAUGAAACGAUUUUGGAAAUAAUUUGAGAUAU